GAGAGUUUGAUCCUGGCUCAGGACGAACGCUGGCGGCGUGCCUAAUACAUGCAAGUCGAACGAAGCUUUCUUUCACCGAAUGCUUGCAUUCACCGAAAGAAGCUUAGUGGCGAACGGGUGAGUAACACGUAGGCAACCUGCCCAAAAGAGGGGGAUAACACUUGGAAACAGGUGCUAAUACCGCAUAACCAUGAACACCGCAUGAUGUUCAUGUAAAAGACGGCUUUCGCUGUCACUUUUGGAUGGGCCUGCGGCGUAUUAACUUGUUGGUGGGGUAACGGCCUACCAAGGUGAUGAUACGUACCCGAACUGAGAGGUUGAUCGGCCACAUUGGGACUGAGACACGGCCCAAACUCCUACGGGAGGCAGCAGUAGGGAAUCUUCCACAAUGGACGAAAGUCUGAUGGAGCAACGCCGCGUGAAUGAAGAAGGCCUUCGGGUCGUAAAAUUCUGUUGUCAGAGAAGAACAUGCGUGAGAGUAACUGUUCA
rnacentral:rRNA from 1 species